rnacentral:rRNA from 1 species
AUUGAACGCUGGCGGCAUGCCUUACACAUGCAAGUCGAACGGCAGCACGGGAGCAAUCCUGGUGGCGAGUGGCGAACGGGUGAGUAAUAUAUCGGAACGUGCCCAGUCGUGGGGAUAACGUAGCGAAAGCUACGCUAAUACCGCAUACGAUCUAUGGAUGAAAGCGGGGGAUCGCAAGACCUCGCGCGAUUGGAGCGGCCGAUAUCAGAUUAGGUAGUUGGUGAGGUAAAGGCUCACCAAGCCGACGAUCUGUAGCUGGUCUGAGAGGACGACCAGCCACACUGGGACUGAGACACGGCCCAGACUCCUACGGAGGCAGCAGUGGGGAAUUUUGGACAAUGGGCGCAAGCCUGAUCCAGCAAUGCCGCGUGCAGGAUGAAGGCCCUCGGGUUGUAAACUGCUUUUGUACGGAACGAAACGGUGAGCUCUAAUACAGUUUGCUAAUGACGGUACCGUAAGAAUAAGCACCGGCUAACUACG